rnacentral:rRNA from 1 species
GACGUAGGGUGCGAGCGUUGUCCGGAUUUAUUGGGCGUAAAGAGCUCGUAGGCGGCUCGUCGCGUCGACCGUGAAAACCCGCAGCUUAACUGCGGGCUUGCGGUUGAUACGGGCGGGCUAGAGUUCGGUAGGGGAGACUGGAAUUCCUGGUGUAGCGGUGAAAUGCGCAGAUAUCAGGAGGAACACCGGUGGCGAAGGCGGCAUCCUGGACCAACACUGACACUGAGGAGCGAAAGCCAGGGGAGCAAACGGG